UAUGAGCCAUUCAGUGCUAGCUAAUAAUCCCGGUUCCAUUCUUCCCCACGUCCAUCCCUCCUGGCUUCAUGAACCACAAUCCUUCCCCCUCCAUCCAUCUCAUAUCGUCCUACGAUUCCUUUCUGUCACACCUUCAAAAUAAAUAACAUUCCCUCCUUCGUUGAUUGCAGCUGGAAUACACUCAUGCAAGGGGAAGAUGGUGGAACUACUCCGGGCUGGAGGAUCAUGCUUUACAUUGCCUCAUGCAAAUUAGCCCUCUUGAUUUUUAUUUUUUUUUAUUUUUUUUUCAGUGCCCUCAGGUAUGGAGAACUACCUGGCUUCACCUCUGUUACCACCUCUGGUCAAUACAGCAGCAGAUGCCAAAGAAAACAGGAAGGUGCUAUUCAGGGUGAUGUAGUGGCCACUUUACAUUAGUGGAGGUGGUCCCAACACAGCUAUUCAGAUGUUCACGUUUGAAACCCUAAAUUCCUGAGGAGGUUAUGUCAAUCGUCUAGCCACACAAGUGAUUUGCAACAUGUACCACUGGAAUAAACUUCUUGGAGGGAUUCCAGCGCUUGCUGGAAUAAAGCUGAUUGCAUUUGGAGACCAUUCCUUGGGCUGCUUGAGAGCUGUGGCCAAUUCCUUGCUUGACACUGCUACUGGACGGUGCACCCUCAUGUACUUUGGACAAGACUUUCAUCCAGCAGCUACUGGGUUCAUGUUGAGUUCUGGAGCACAGUAGCUUAAUUGGAGCAAGAGCCUAACACAAGAGGAUUGUGGUCCAGGAACAGAGCUGCUAUGCACUAUGUGGAAAUCCAUGUCUGAUGAAUCCUGCUUUCAAAGCAUCAGUGAAUUUUGGCUGCCCGCUGCUGUGUGCUACAGUAAUGAAACAAGCUAUUGGUUUGAGGAGAUGUCACCGUGAGCGUCCUUCUCCCCGUCCUGCCACCACCUGUGAAUCCCAGUUCCCUGGCAGCACCACCAGUGGGGUGAAGGGAGAAAGGAGCCAUCACCACCCCGGGAACGGCUGAAAAACGAUGGACUAGACUGCACGCAACAUAUCCCAGCCUGCUGGAAGGAUCUUUGGAGCAAAGAUGUACUGAUCAGAAGAUACCGUGGGUGUGUCCCACGUGCGCAGCAUCCUGUGAUUGCAGAAGAACCUCAGACAAUAAGGGACCUUGGGCCUUUUUAUCCUCUCUUUAUAUGUUUAUGAAUCAGAAUCUUUGUGGGUGAAGAAAAUUAGCAGUGACGGGAGAUUUUAGUGCUGAAUAGGAGGUCUCUGAUAUUCUGUGUGGGGAAGUUGGGGGGCUUCACACAUUUCUACAGUGCAUUCUCAGGAAAACGUGAGCCAGAUCUGCACUGGGAAAAUGUUGGGUGCAUCUGAGGAGGUGGGAGGGGCCUUCUGCCACCUUUCCUCUAAACCCAUAGAUCCUGGGGGCACAGGUGAAAGCAGCCUUAAGGCUGCUCUAACUUGUGCUAGAUGCAACAGGUUCCUAUGUAUGUUCCACAAGCUCAAGAUCUCCAGAGCACAAGGCUCUCCAGCCACACCCCUGGACCGCUCCCUAAACCAGGGCACUAAGAACCUGUGGCAUGUGGGGUGUUCUGGAGAUAAGUUGGUGGGAGCAAUGGAAUGAGGAGGCAUUACUUGUAUAAAGUGCCUAUUUUAUGCUAAGCCAAGCACUAAUGCAAACACUAAAGAAUAUUACAAACUCUAACCAGUUCAAGUGAGUAAGUUUUGCACAUAGACAUUCAACUAUGUACCUUGUCUCAGCAUCCUCCUGAACGCUGCUUCACCAUGCUGGGAGUGACAGUCGCUAUUUUGCUUUUCGUGGGGGUCAAAACAAAGUUCUGUGCUCUGGUGAAAAACCAAGAAUUUAGUCCAAGGUUCCUAGAAUCUAAUCUGGAAUGAGCCACAGAUUCCCUUGGUGGCCUUUGACAAAUGACAUUGCCCUAGGUCUAGCUGGAAAACCGGGUAAAGAAAGAUUUCCCUGAGGAUAAACACGACACCACACCCUCAUUUAAAAUGACGGAGAACUUCUGAACAUUGCCAUGCAGUGAGCCAGAUCAGUGUGGCUUCUGGUGAAUUGGGUGCAUGCAUCUGAAUGCUAAAUUUGGCCAUCUAACUGGAUUUGGGGUACAUUUCGUGCUUGUAGAGCAGCAAAGAUUUAUGCUGAGGAAACUGACCUUGAAGAUUUCCUUCAGCUGAUUCAGGUGCAGAAUGUAAAGGACAGAAGUAAAAACAACCCCCCUCUACUUAAAACUAAGCUAAAUUAUUACUAAAGUUUGGAAAGCAUGGUUUGUCAUCCCCCAUUGCUAUAUAAAUGUUAUUCCUUUUAUUGGAUAGUGCAAAUAAUAUAACUCUCAAACUCAUCAAUAACUCAUAUUGAUGAAUAGCUUAGCACAAGAGGACAGGGGAAAGAUGACAUUUUUUGCAAAAAUUUGCAUAUUGUGACUGAAUUGGCUCAGUAUGCAAAGCCCCUGUAGCACAUUCAAGGAUACAAGAUAUGAAAUGGAAUCAUCCUGUGUGUAAGUUUUAAUGAAAAUAAAACAUUCUGGAGAGAGAUUUGUUUUCACGUAAUUGAGGAAAAUAAUUUUAAGCUCCUCAGAAAUCCUUAACUUGUAGCUGUUUCGGCAAAGAAACUAAAGAUUUUUAAAUAUAAUAUGAACACACUAUAUUUGUAUGUUAAUGUGAUUAAUUGUAACUACAAUUAAUUAGUUGUAGUGCGACUGACCUACAAGCCCUGCCUGGCUUUCUUACCUCUAGUUUUAUUUAUAACACUUUUUUUUUUAAUUUAUUAAACAACUUUUUUUUCGCUUACCUUGUGAGUUUCUUGGUCAAGCUAUACCACAUGA